ACGCUCGACACCUACGGGAAGCAGCAGUGGGGAAUAUUGCACAAUGGGGGAAACCCUGAUGCAGCGACGCCGCGUGGAGGAAGAAGGUCUUCGGAUUGUAAACUCCUGUUGUUGGGGAAAAAGAGGAUGGUACCCAACAAGGAAGUGACGGCUAACUACGUGCCAGANCGCGUAGUAUNAGNGGCGNGNGAGACG
rnacentral:rRNA from 1 species